ACAGAGCAACAUGUCCUACUGCUGAUUGGCUGUGUGUCUACCAGAGCGCGAUGCGAUUGGACGGCUUGCCUGUCGCGUGACGGCUCCCAGCAUCAGGUUUCGUGGCGCAGAGGAUUGAGGCUCAUUCUAUCACACUCACUCACAGCAGCGAGAGCGCGGAGGAUGGAGGCGACUGAAGCGAUGGUUAGAGAAGGGAGGAGAGACCAUGGUACAGGAACAAUAGGUCAUAUCUGAGCAGGACACUCUUACCUUCAGAAUGAGAGCCAAGCAUUUCCAGUUCAACUACAGCUGAAACAUCACGACACAAGUAAGUCCUUCAGGUUUCUUUCAUCAAGAUUCUAAGUAAAAACUUUUGAAGUACAUGAAAAUAGGAUUUGCUCAACUAUUCAUUAUUACUAGCUUACUAGCAGUCUAAAUAAGCAGCUUUUGUAAAUAGCAUGUAUCAGCGGUCUGACGGCCGGGUGGAGAGCCUUGUGCAGUUGAACAUUUUUAUGGCUUUAAUUUAAAUUUCCAGUUUAGUUAACUAUACCAACCCUAUAUGUGACCCUGGACCACAAAACCAGUCUUAAGUCACUGGGGUAUAUUUUUAACAAUAGCCAAAAAUACAUUGUGUGGGUCAAAAUUAUCCAUUUUUCUUUUAUGCCAAAAAUCAUUAGGAUAUUAAGUAAAGAUCAUGUUCCAUGAAGAUAUUUUGUAAAUUUCCUUCUGUAAAUAUAUCAAAACUUAAUUUUUGAUUAGUAAUAUGCAUUGCUAAGAACUUCAUUUGGACAACUUUAAAGGUGAUUUUCUCAAUAUUUAGAUUUUUUUGCACCCUCAGAUUCCAUAUUUUCAAAUAGUUGUAUCUCUGCCAAAUAUUGUGCUAUACUUACAAACCAUACAUCAACGGAAAGAUCAUUUAUUCAGCUUUCAGAUGAUAUAUAAAUAUCAAUUUCGAAAAAUUUACCCUUAUGACUGAUUUUGUGGUCCAAGUUCACAUAUACAUGUUAAUAUUAUACAUAUAUAUAUAUAUAGCAGUGUAUGAUAGUAUAUAUAAA
ensembl:lncRNA